rnacentral:rRNA from 1 species
GGCCUAACACAUGCAAGUCGAACGGCAGCACAGCAGUAGCAAUACUGUGGGUGGCGAGUGGCGGACGGGUGAGGAAUACAUCGGGAUCUACCUUUUCGUGGGGGAUAACGUAGGGAAACUUACGCUAAUACCGCAUACGCCCUACGGGGGAAAGCGGCGGACCGCAAGGCGUCGCGCGAUAAGAUGAACCGAUGUCCGAUUAGCUAGUUGGCGGGGUAAAGGCCCACCAAGGCGACGAUCGAUAGCUGGUCUGAGAGGACGGCCAGCCACACUGGAACUGAGAAACGGUCCAGACUCCUACGGGAGGCAGCAGUGAGGAAUUUUGCGCAAUGGGCGAAAGCCUGACGCAGCAACGCCGCGUGGGGGAUGAAGGCUCUCGGGUUGUAAACCCCUUUUCUUGGGGAAGAUAAUGACGGUACCCAAGGAAUAAGUCACGGCAAACUACGUGCC